rnacentral:rRNA from 1 species
GGAUUAGAUACCCUGGUAGUCCACGCCGUAAACGAUGGUCACUAGCUGUUUGGACUUCGGUCUGAGUGGCUAAGCGAAAGUGAUAAGUGACCCACCUGGGGAGUACGUUCGCAAGAAUGAAACUCAAAGGAAUUGACGGGGGCCCGCACAAGCGGUGGAGCAUGUGGUUUAAUUCGAUGAUACGCGAGGAACCUUACCAGGGCUUAAAUGUAGUGGGACAGCUUUAGAGAUAGAGUUUUCUUCGGACUCAUUACAAGGUGCUGCAUGGUUGUCGUCAGCUCGUGUUG